AGAGUUUGAUCAUGGCUCAGGACGAACGCUGGCGGCGUGCUUAACACAUGCAAGUCGAACGGUGAUCUUGAGAGCUUGCUCUUGGGUGAUCAGUGGCGAACGGGUGAGUAACACGUGAGCAACCUGCCCCAGACUCUGGAAUAACCCCGGGAAACCGGAGCUAAUACCGGAUACGACACUGGCCCGCAUGGGUAUGGUGUGGAAAGUUUUUCGGUCUGGGAUGGGCUCGCGGCCUAUCAGCUUGUUGGUGAGGUAGUGGCUCACCAAGGCGACGACGGGUAGCCGGCCUGAGAGGGCGACCGGCCACACUGGGACUGAGACACGGCCCAGACUCCUACGGGAGGCAGCAGUGGGGAAUAUUGCACAAUGGGCGCAAGCCUGAUGCAGCGACGCCGCGUGAGGGAUGACGGCCUUCGGGUUGUAAACCUCUUUCAGCAGGGAAGAAGCGCAAGUGACGGUACCUGCAGAAGAAGCACCGGCUAACUACGUGCCAGCAGCCGCGGUA
rnacentral:rRNA from 1 species